rnacentral:rRNA from 1 species
GACGAACGCUGGCGGCGUGCCUAAUACAUGCAAGUCGAACGCACAGUUUAUACCGUAGCUUGCUACACCAUAGACUGUGAGUUGCGAACGGGUGAGUAACGCGUAGGUAACCUGCCUGGUAGCGGGGGAUAACUAUUGGAAACGAUAGCUAAUACCGCAUAAUAUUGAUUAUUGCAUGAUAAUUGAUUGAAAGAUGCUAUUGCAUCACUACCAGAUGGACCUGCGUUGUAUUAGCUAGUAGGUGAGGUAACGGCUCACCUAGGCGACGAUACAUAGCCGACCUGAGAGGGGGAUCGGCCACACUGGGACUGAGACACGGCCCAGACUCCUACGGGAGGCAGCAGUAGGGAAUCUUCGGCAAUGGACGAAAGUCUGACCGAGCAACGCCGCGUGAGUGAAGAAGGUUUUCGGAUCGUAAAGCUCUGUUGUAAGAGAAGAACGGGUGUGAGAGUGGAAAGUUCACACUGUGACGGUAGCUUACCAGAAAGGGACGGCUAACUACGUG